AGAGAGAGACAUGCGCGCAUAUCAAUAAGCGGAGGAAAAGAAACUAACAAGGAUUCCCUUAGUAACGGCGAGUGAAGCGGGAAGAGCUCAAAUUUGAAAUCUUCAAGGUUUUACCUUGACGAAUUGUAGUUUAAAGAAGUGUUUUCUGUUGGAGUUUUGGUAAAAGUUCUUUGGAAUAGGACAUCAUAGAGGGUGAGAAUCCCGUAUUUGACCAUUAUUUCCAGCUUUGUGAUACACUUUCAAAGAGUCGGAUUGUUAGGGAAUGCAGUCCAAAAUGGGUGGUAAAUUUCAUCUAAAGCUAAAUAUUGGCGAGAGACCGAUAGCGAACAAGUACCGUGAGGGAAAGAUGAAAAGAACUUUGAAAAGAGAGUUAAACAGUACGUGAAAUUGUCAAAAAGGGAAGCGUUUGACACCAGUGUUGUUUUCUCGAAAAUCAAUUCAUGAUGGCUUGAUGCUAGGUUGUUAUGACUUUAUCAGCAUACUGUCUAGUUUUCUUGUCUUUGUGAAUGCACUUUUCGUUUAACAAGUCAACAUCAAUUUCUUUUGCUGUAAAAGGGUAAGAGGAAGGUGGCUUCAACUUCGGUUGAAGUGUUUAUAGCCUUUUACCUCUGCAGUCGGAGAGAUUGAGGUCUGCAGCGUAGACUCUUCGGGGUUAGAUACAUUUGUGCUAAGUUAUAGCUUUUCAUAGACAACUUGUUGACUAUGUUUAGUCUUGUAGCUUACUCGCUUAUGCUAUUUUACCUACGCUUAGGAUGUUGACAGCAGUAUAGACUGU
rnacentral:rRNA from 1 species